AGAAGACCCUUUAGAACUUUACAAAUUGAUUUAAUAUCAUUUAGUUAAUUUGUUAAAUUGGGGAGAUUUUUAAAUAAAUAAAUCUUUAGAUAUAAAAAAAUGAUUUAAAUCAGAUUAAAUUAUCCAAAUGUGAAAUAAAACAAGUUACCUAAGGGAUAACAGCGCAAAAUUUUUGAGAAGUUCUCAUUUACAAAAUAAAUUGCGACCUCGAUGUUGGAUUAAGAACAACUUAUAAAGAAAAAUUUAUAAGAGUUGGUCUGUUCGCCCAAAUAAAUCUUACAUGAUCUGAGUUCAGACCGGCGUGAGCCAGGUCAGUUU
rnacentral:ncRNA from 1 species